UUCAUUGUAAGAGAGGAAUCGAGGUUCAUCCUGCAAAAAAAAAAAAAUGCCUGAACCGAGGAUAAAGAAAAGAGGUUCGUGGUUUCUUCGAAAGAUUGAACUAUCUGUCAUGGUUCACAUCUCAUCUAACAGCCACGUGUGAACCUAUAUUCAAGAUGUUGAAAAAAAAAAGAUCAAACGGUCAGGUGAAAUAAUGAUUGCCAAGGGGCAGUGAAAAAUAA
rnacentral:lncRNA from 1 species